rnacentral:rRNA from 1 species
AUUGAACGCUGGCGGCAUGCCUUACACAUGCAAGUCGAACGGCAGCAUGAUCUAGCUUGCUAGAUCGAUGGCGAGUGGCGAACGGGUGAGUAAUACAUCGGAACGUGCCCUGUAGUGGGGGAUAACUAGUCGAAAGAUUAGCUAAUACCGCAUACGACCUGAGGGUGAAAGUGGGGGACCGCAAGGCCCCAUGCUAUAGGAGCGGCCGGUGUCUGAUUGGCUAGUUGGUGAGGUAAAGUCUCACCGAGGCGACGAGCAGUAGCCGGUCGGAGAGGACGGUCGGCGGCCCGGGAGGGGGAACAGGGCCCAGGGGCCUACGGGAGGGAGCGGUGGGGAAUGGGGGGCAGUGGGGGGAAGCAUGGUCCAGCGAGACCGAGUGGGUGAAGGAGGCGUUGGGGUUGGAAAGCCCGUUUGUUGGGAAAGAAAAGCAGCAGGUUAAUACCCCGCUGGUGUGACGGUACCCGAAGAAUAAGCACCGGCUAACUUCGUG